GGUCUACUCGUGUUGGCGUCGUAUUACUUCAGUCUAUUUUUGACGGGCAAAUCAUCAAACGUCAAGAAAAAUUCUGCGAGAAGUGAGCUUAUAAAGGAAAAACAACGUGCUCUAGAACAAUCUCUGAAGAAAGACAAACGCACAGGAUG